GACGAACGCUGGCGGCGUGCCUAACACAUGCAAGUCGAACGGGGGUAUUAUUUCGAUGAAUACCUUAGUGGCGAACGGGUGAGUAACACGUAGGUGAUCUACCCUCAAGAUUGGGACAACCCAGGGAAAACUUGGGCUAAUACCGGAUGAAAGCAGCAGUGAUGUUGUUUGAAAGGUGGCGUAAGCUGCCGUUUGGGGAUGAGCCUGCGCUCUAUUAGUUAGUUGGCGGGGUAAAGGCCCACCAAGGCGAUGAUAGAUAGGCGGCCUUAACGGGUGGUCGCCCACACUGGGAUUGAGAUACGGCCCAGACUCCUACGGGAGGCAGCAGUCGAGAAUAGUCUACAAUGGCCGAAAGGCUGAUAGUGCGACGCCGCGUGAACGAAGAAGCCCUUCGGGGUGUAAAGUUCUUUUAUAUGUGAGCAGUGCUUUCUAUGUGAACAGCAUGGGGAGAGAGAUAUUAGCAUAUGAAUAAGCAACGGCUAACUCCGUG
rnacentral:rRNA from 1 species